UAACGGCCCACCAAGGCAAUGAUCAGUAGCCGGCCUGAGAGGGCGCACGGCCACACUGGAACUGAAACACGGCAUAAACUCCUACGGGAGGCAGCAGUGGGGAAUUUUGCGCAAUGGGGGAAACCCUGCCGCAGCACCGCCGCGUGGAGGAUGAAGCCCCUUGGGGUGUAAACUCCUUUCGAUCGGGACGAUAAUGACGGUACUGGUGGAAGAAGCACCGGCUAACUCUGUGCCAGCAGCCGCGGUAAUACAGAGGGUGCAAGCGUUGUUCGGAAUUAUUGGGCGUAAAGGGUGCGUAGGCGGUGCGACAAGUCACCUGUGAAAUCUCCGGGCUUAACUCGGAGCCUGCAGGCGAAACUGUCGUGCUGGAGUAUGGGAGAGGUGCGUGGAAUUCCCGGUGUAGCGGUGAAAUG
rnacentral:rRNA from 1 species